rnacentral:rRNA from 1 species
GACGAACGCUGGCGGCGUGCUUAACACAUGCAAGUCGAACGCUGAAGCUCAGCUUUUGUUGGGUGGAUGAGUGGCGAACGGGUGAGUAACACGUGAGUAACCUGCCCCCUUCUUUGGGAUAACGCCCGGAAACGGGUGCUAAUACUGGAUAUUCACUGGUCUUCGCAUGGGGGUUGGUGGAAAGGGUUUUUCUGGUGGGGGAUGGGCUCGCGGCCUAUCAGCUUGUUGGUGGGGUGAUGGCCUACCAAGGCUUUGACGGGUAGCCGGCCUGGGAGGGUGACCGGUCACAUUGGGACUGAGAUACGGCCCAGACUCCUACGGGAGGCCGCAGUGGGGAAUAUUGCACAAUAGGCGCAAGCCUGAUGCAGCGACGCAGCGUGAGGGAUGGAGGCCGUCGGGUUGUGAACCGCUUUCGCUCAUGGUCAAGCCGCAACAAUGGUUGUGGUGAGGGUAGUGGGUAAAGAAGCGCCGGCUAACUACGUG